rnacentral:rRNA from 1 species
GUGAGGAAUAUUGGUCAAUGGGCGCAAGCCUGAACCAGCCAUGCCGCGUGCAGGAUGAAGCAUCUAUGGUGUGUAAACUGCUUUUGUACGGGAAGAAACACCGCUUCGUGAAGCGGCUUGACGGUACCGUAAGAAUAAGGAUCGGCUAACUCCGUGCCAGCAGCCGCGGUAAUACGGAGGAUCCAAGCGUUAUCCGGAAUCAUUGGGUUUAAAGGGUCCGUAGGCGGUUUUAUAAGUCAGUGGUGAAAUCCGGCAGCUCAACUGUCGAACUGCCAUUGAUACUGUAGGACUUGAAUUAUUGUGAAGUAACUAGAAUAUGUAGUGUAGCGGUGAAAUGCUUAGAUAUUACAUGGAAUACCAAUUGCGAAGGCAGGUUACUAACACUACAUUGACGCUGAUGGACGAAAGCGUGGGGAGCGAACAGGAUUAGAAACCCUAGUAGUCC